rnacentral:piRNA from 1 species
UCAGGGUAAAGUUGCUGAGAGACCUC